rnacentral:lncRNA from 1 species
AUGAUAAAAAAUAAAGAAUAUUGCCCCGUCCCCGCCUCGCUCCCGCGCGCAGAGUCCCCGUCUGCAUCCGGAGGGGGCACUGCGCUUCUAGGGACCCUCCGCUUUGGCAUGCACAGAAAUCGGCCAGAACGUGAAAAUGCGCAGGGCUUUUUCCCUUUCGAAAGGUUUUGGGCCCAAGCCCUCAGCUGUAGACCAGAGCUGCUCACAGGUGGCACUCAAGUGUGGACCUGCCACAUCGCUCCCCAAACCAGAGUCUCCUCCUUUGGGUUUUGGGGGGCCCCCGCUCCCCAGCCUCGUGGGGGAGCCCCUCCCUGGCAGUGGGGCCUCCCCCCAGGAAACGCCGAUGACCAGCCACCCUCCAGCUCGCCCUCGCCAGCCCUCCUGACCCACCGCUGGCAGGAGGCACCGCCAAUUCCAUUUGUUAAACAGUUUUUUUUUUUUUUAAGUGUAAAUGAUAAUAAUAAAAUUCCACGAGUCUUUCUUUUUUUUUCUCUUUUCUCUCCCCUCAGGAUAAAUUUUAUGCGGCUGGCAGUUAAAAUAAGCGAUUACCCCAUAAAUACCAUCUUAAUAGCCUCGUCAACGCUACGGCCUCCGCUGUCCUGAGAUUUUUAUCUCAGGAAAGGGGGAGGGAGGGAGAGAGAAAACCACAACCCUUUAGAGCGCUGCGGCGGCGGCUGCCGCCGCUCGUUACUCGCUGCGUAGCUGGGGGGGCGGAGGGCUCCCCCCUUCCCCCGGGGGCAGCCGCGGGGCCGCCCCCUCCCCCGGCGUGGCCGUUGGCGU